GACAGAGGGUGCUAGCGUUGUUCGGAAUUACUGGGCGUAAAGGGCGCGUAGGCGGCUCGUUUAGUCGGGUGUGAAAUCCCGGGGCUCAACCCCGGAACUGCAUUCGAUACUGGCGGGCUAGAGACCGGAAGAGGUGGGUGGAAUACCCAGUGUAGAGGUGAAAUUCGUAGAUAUUGGGUGGAACACCGGUGGCGAAGGCGGCGACCUGGUCCAUUACUGACGCUGAGGCGCGACAGCGUGGGGAGCAAACAG
rnacentral:rRNA from 1 species